UCUCAGUUUCAUGAUAGGAAGGCAUGGUGGUGUUCAGGACAGUGGGAGAGACUCCUGUCUAUGAUGGCCAGGAGUGCAAUUUGGCUUGCUCACAUCUUAGUGGAUCAGGAAGCAGAGCUUGAGCCAACAGAGGAAACAGAGUGGAAGUGCCCCUAAGGGCGGAAGUCCUGCCAGCCCAUAAUUCAGACGAAACAAUACAAAUGAAGCCUAACUGCUGUCUGCAACUCAUAAACUAAAAUUUGGCUUACCUGCUGUGAUUGUGGUUAUCCUGUCAACAGGAAUUAUUUCACACUGAGUAAAAAAUUCAGUCGGGGCA